GACGAACGCUGGCGGCGUGCCUAAUACAUGCAAGUCGAACGCUGACGGAGGAACUUGCUCUUCUGGCUGAGUUGCGAACGGGUGCGUAACGCGUAGGUAACCUGCCUGGCAGUGGGGGAUAACUAUUGGAAACGAUAGCUACUCCAGCAUAACAGUAGAUGUUGCAUGACAUUUACUUAAACGGUGCACUUGCCCCACUACAAGAUGGACCUGCGUUGUAUUGAAUAGUUGGGGGGGUAACGGCCCACCAAGGCGACGAUACAUAUCCGCCCUGAGAGGGGGAUCGGCCACACUGGGACUGAAGAACGGCCCAGACUCCUACGGGAGGCAGCAGUAGGGAAUCAUCGGCAAUGGACGGAAGUCUGACCGCGCAACGCCGCGUGGGUGAAGAAGGUCUUCGGAGCGUAAAGCUCUGUUGUUAGAGAAGGACGAGUGGGAGAGUAAAAACUUCACGCUGUGACGGUAUCUAACGAGAAAGGAACGGCUAACUUCGUG
rnacentral:rRNA from 1 species